rnacentral:rRNA from 1 species
GACGAACGCUGGCGGCGUGCCUAAUACAUGCAAGUCGAGCGGGACUCUUCGGAGUCCAGCGGCGGACGGGUGAGUAACACGUGGGCAACCUGCCUGUAAGACUGGGAUAACACCGGGAAACCGGUGCUAAUACCGGAUAAUCCUUUCCCUCACAUGAGGGGAAGCUGAAAGACGGUUUCGGCUGUCACUUACAGAUGGGCCCGCGGCGCAUUAGCUAGUUGGUGAGGUAACGGCUCACCAAGGCGACGAUGCGUAGCCGACCUGAGAGGGUGAUCGGCCAGACUGGGAUUGAGACACGGCCCAGACUCCGACGGGAGGCAGCAGUAGGGAAUCUUCCGCAAUGGACGAAAGUCUGACGGAGCAACGCCGCGUGAGCGAUGAAGGCCUUCGGGUCGUAAAGCUCUGUUGUCAGGGAAGAACAAGUAUCGGAGUAACUGCCGGUACCUUGACGGUACCUGAUCAGAAAGCCACGGCUAUCUACGUGCCAACCGCCGCCGUAA